GACGAAGGGGGCUAGCGUUGUUCGGAAUUACUGGGCGUAAAGAGCGUGUAGGCGGCCAGGUAGGUCGGUUGUGAAAACUGGAGGCUCAACCUUCAGAGGUCGACCGAAACCAUCUGGCUAGAGUCCGGGAGAGGAGAGUGGAAUUCCUGGUGUAGCGGUGAAAUGCGCAGAUAUCAGGAAGAACACCCGUGGCGAAAGCGGCUCUCUGGAACGGUACUGACGCUGAGACGCGAAAGCGUGGGGAGCGAACAGG
rnacentral:rRNA from 1 species